GUCAUCGCUCUGCUUCCCUACGCUGCUAAGAACACCGUGCAGUUUCAUGACUCUGCUCGGGACAUUCAGCCCAGGGGGCCGGGGUCGCCAAUGAAGUGGGAUGACUCAUGGCACUCCGGGAGGAGUGCCCUUGGAGGGGGGUUCUGUCACGAUUCCCCCUUGAAGCAGUCUGCUUUAAGCGCAAAUGCGCGAGCACCUGCUUUUCCGCUGUCGACCUUAGUGACAUUGGGACACGUGGAUUUUGUUUAUGUUUGUCAUGUCUCCUCCCUGUUCCGUCAUUGGCUGGGAAGUCACGUGUGUCCGGAUUACCCUCAGCUGUUAGCAGUUGUGAGGGUAAUCAUGUCCACAUAUAUACCGCGCGCUUCCCAGCACACAACGCGGAAGAUUAAGUAGUAAGUAAUAAGAAGUGAAUGUUUAGCUGUAGUCCGUGUCAUAGUCAUAGUCAUAGUCAUAGUCAGUUCGCGCUGGAUAUCCGCUUCCAGUUCAUCGUCAUAGUUUGUUUCUUGUUUUGGUUAUCGACCUAGAUUCCUGCCUAGCCCCGUGUAUACCUGUUUGCCAAUCGCCUGACCUCUUGCCUGUUUAUGAAUUACGUUUUGGAUCACGUUUUGGAUUUGUCUGCCUGCCUGUCUCUUUAAAUAAACAACUGUUAUCCUGCACUUGCAUCCGCCUUAUCUCUGCUUCGUAUCUCUGCUAUGAUGUGUGACAUCAGUCAGAUGCAAAGGGUGGAAGGAUGCUUCUGGAGGACAGGAUCUUCACAGUAGAUGAAUUUUAUUCGCAGAAGGCGUUCAGGUGGAGAAAUACGGGAGUGUAGUCUCCCUUCCUGUCUAACUGAAGGUGUGAAUGCCUACCCGAUAUAGCGCUUCAGUUCCCCGUACAGUAUAAUAAAAGGGUCUUCACGUGACAGUGUGUACCACGUAUCUAUCUUCUUAAGUGUCUAGCAACUUAUCCUAUGGCGAGAAUCAGCCAAAAGAGAAUCAAACAGAUUUUAAACAAGAUUUCCUGAGGUGCUUCAUCUUAACUGUCUAAAAUCAGAAAUGUUUUCAUAAUGUGAUAUUUUAAGACCAGAGUGAUAGAUUCCUGGCUAAUGCUUUACUGGAAGCUCCACAAAUAAUAAUGCUUUUUAUAAAUAUAUUAAUACUCAGGACAUA
ensembl:lncRNA